rnacentral:lncRNA from 1 species
AAAAAGAAAAAACAUUCAGAUAUCAAGUAACGGGACAAAACUUUUCAACGGCGAUAAACAAAAAAUCACGAUUUAACGGUUAUUUUAACUCCCAUUUUGAUGAUUUUUUACAGCUACACUCCUUAACCCUAUAUGAAUACAAUGAACUAAUUCGAUCGUCAAUUUAAAACAUUUACACAAGUGGAUACCACAAAAGAAAAAGGCAAUGCAAGAACCUCAAAAGAAAAGCAAAAAAUAAAAAAUAAAAAAUAAAAAAAAAUUUGCGCGACGAAGACCUAGGUCGUCGCGCAAAGUGUGUUUUUUUUUCCCCUUUUUCUUAUAGACUAAUUCGAUCAUCGAUUUAAAACAUUUACACAAGUGGAUACCACAAAAUCUUAUGUUAUACUUAAUGAAAGUAUAAAUAAACUCCAAGUGUUAGUGAAUCUAUUGUUUUGAUGGGAUACGCAUUGUAUAAAACUAGUUUAGACGAUCUAAACAUCAAACUUGUUUGUACAUAAUUUGAGAUCGCAUAUGCAGAAAAUCGCAACAAACAAACAUUCAGAGAUGAAGUAACAUGAUAAAAUGUAUCGACGGUUAUAAACGAAAAAUCACGAUUUAACGGUAGUUUUAACUCUGAUUGUGAUGAUUUUUUACAGUUACA